rnacentral:rRNA from 1 species
UACGUAGGGUGCAAGCGUUGUCCGGAAUUAUUGGGCGUAAAGAGCUCGUAGGCGGUCUGUCACGUCGGACGUGAAAAUCCAGGGCUCAACCCUGGACCUGCGUUCGAUACGGGCAGACUAGAGUUCGGUAGGGGAGACUGGAAUUCCGCGUGUAGCAGUGAAAUGCGUAGAGAUGCGGAGGAACACCGAUGGCGAAGGCAGCCCCCUGGGCUAGCACUGACGCUCAGGCACGAAAGCGUGGGGAGCAAACAGG